AGUCGAAGAUACCAGCUGGCUGCAACUGUUUAUUAAAAACACAGCACUGUGCAAACACGAAAGUGGACGUAUACGGUGUGACGCCUGCCCGGUGCCGGAAGGUUAAUUGAUGGGGUCAGCGCAAGCGAAGCUCUUGAUCGAAGCCCCGGUAAACGGCGGCCGUAACUAUAACGGUCCUAAGGUAGCGAAAUUCCUUGUCGGGUAAGUUCCGACCUGCACGAAUGGCGUAAUGAUGGCCAGGCUGUCUCCACCCGAGACUCAGUGAAAUUGAACUCGCUGUGAAGAUGCAGUGUACCCGCGGCAAGACGGAAAGACCCCGUGAACCUUUACUAUAGCUUGACACUGAACAUUGAGCCUUGAUGUGUAGGAUAGGUGGGAGGCUUAGAAGUGUGGACGCCAGUCUGCAUGGAGCCGACCUUGAAAUACCACCCUUUAAUGUUUGAUGUUCUAACGUUGACCCGUAAUCCGGGUUGCGGACAGUGUCUGGUGGGUAGUUUGACUGGGGCGGUCUCCUCCUAAAGAGUAACGGAGGAGCACGAAGGUUGGCUAAUCCUGGUCGGACAUCAGGAGGUUAGUGCAAUGGCAUAAGCCAGCUUGACUGCGAGCGUGACGGCGCGAGCAGGUGCGAAAGCAGGUCAUAGUGAUCCGGUGGUUCUGAAUGGAAGGGCCAUCGCUCAACGGAUAAAAGGUACUCCGGGGAUAACAGGCUGAUACCGCCCAAGAGUUCAUAUCGACGGCGGUGUUUGGCACCUCGAUGUCGGCUCAUCACAUCCUGGGGCUGAAGUAGGUCCCAAGGGUAUGGCUGUUCGCCAUUUAAAGUGGUACGCGAGCUGGGUUUAGAACGUCGUGAGACAGUUCGGUCCCUAUCUGCCGUGGGCGCUGGAGAACUGAGGGGGGCUGCUCCUAGUACGAGAGGACCGGAGUGGACGCAUCACUGGUGUUCGGGUUGUCAUGCCAAUGGCACUGCCCGGUAGCUAAAUGCGGAAGAGAUAAGUGCUGAAAGCAUCUAAGCACGAAACUUGCCCCGAGAUGAGUUCUCCCUGACUCCUUGAGAGUCCUGAAGGAACGUUGAAGACGACGACGUUGAUAGGCCGGGUGUGUAAGCGCAGCGAUGCGUUGAGCUAACCGGUACUAAUGAACCGUGAGGCUUAACCU
rnacentral:rRNA from 1 species